rnacentral:lncRNA from 1 species
UAGAGAACUACAGUCAGGCAGGCAGAGUAUUUUCUGAUUUGGAUGAGUUCAUAAGACAUGUACAUUAUGGGAAUUAUAUGAUUGCUCCACCUGCAUCACAUCUGGACCACCUCUGGACUGAGCUGUAGGGAUGCAGGGAAACCCUGCUAAGUGUCAAGCUGCACCCUGUCCUGCUGGUGCCCAUGCCUAGACCCUCAUUCCAUUGUUCACAGAAUUCUAUGCCUUGGGAUUUUGUCUCUACUUGUCCAGAACUCCUAAUUCCUUCACUCUUCCACAUUCUAGGUCCUCCUCUAUCAAUUUAAGUACCAGAUCCCUGUCAGCUGCCUUCCCCAGACAUUAAGUCAGAAGCUCAGUUUGAUGGCAGGGUGUGUGUUUCCAGGGAACAUGCUCUUUUGCCUGCAGCCACAUAAGACAUACCUUUGCUCCAUCUUUACCUUCUGCCACGAUUAUGAGGCCUCCCCAGCCACAUGAAACGGGGGAAGUAUGUAAUGAUGUUUGUGACAAAAAAUAAAUGUGAUCAACUGGUAAAAACAGCCUGAUGUUGUGUCUUCAGUGAAUGUUCCCACUAGCCAGGCUGAGCUUAAGGUGUAUGGUCAACUAAACAAUCCAAAAACCAUGUAGCUCCACAAUAAUCAGAAAUUCUGGAUCCAGUAAAACAAGUCUCCUUUAAGACAUGGCUGAAUGCUGGAAGAAAGUAAAGAAAGUUCCUGGAGUCAAAGAUGAAGUGAGAAGGAAAAAUCAGAGCAAUGCAGUCUCACCCUGUUGCCCAGGCUGGAAUGCAGUGGCACCA